CCAAAGGUAUUUAUUGGACAAAUUGGGCUCAUUUUGGAAUUUAAGAUCGACUCAUUAGGGUUGUUAAGCGACUUAGCCAAUGAAAUUAUAGGCAAGCCCUAGAAUUUAAUCGGACCCAUAAAAGGAAUGCUUAGAAUGAGAUGAGAUGAGAAUUUUGU